UACGUAGGGGGCAAGCGUUGUCCGGAUUUACUGGGCGUAAAGCGCGUGUAGGCGGCCAGGCAGGUCCGUUGUGAAAACUGGAGGCUCAACUUCCAGACGUCGAUGGAAACCGCCCGGCUAGAGUCCGGAAGAGGAGAGUGGAAUUCCUGGUGUAGCGGUGAAAUGCGCAGAUAUCAGGAAGAACACCAAUGGCGAAGGCAGCUCUCUGGACAUUUCCUGACGCUGAGGCACGAAAGCCAGGGGAGCAAACAGG
rnacentral:rRNA from 1 species